rnacentral:rRNA from 1 species
CACGGGGGGAGCAAGCGUUGUUCGGAAUCACUGGGCGUAAAGGGCGUGUAGGCGGCUCGGUAAGUGGGAUGUGAAAUGCCCCGGCUCACCCGGGGACCUGCAUCCCAAACUGCUGGGCUUGAGUAUGGGAGAGGAUGAGGGAAUUCCUGGUGUAGCGGUGAAAUGCGUAGAUAUCAGGAGGAACACCGGUGGCGAAAGCGCUCAUCUGGCCCAAUACUGACGCUGAGGCGCGAAAGCUAGGGGAGCAAACGGG